rnacentral:tRNA from 2 species
GCCCGAUUAGCUCAGGGGUUUAGAGCAGCCGCCUUGUAAGCGGCAGGUCGUCAGUUCGAAUCCGACAUCGGGCACCA